CAGAAAAUAGUUUAUAAAAAAUAACAGUUUUGGGUAUUGUAGACAGGGGCUUUCUUUUUCUGA
rnacentral:tRNA from 1 species